UACGAAGGGGGCUAGCGUUGUCCGGAAUCACUGGGCGUAAAGGGCGCGUAGGUGGUGGCUUAAGCGUGCGGUGAAAGCUCGGGGCUCAACCCCGAGUCGGCCGUGCGAACUGGGCUCACUGGAGCAUAGUAGAGGCAGGUGGAAUUCCGGGUGUAGCGGUGGAAUGCGUAGAGAUCCGGAAGAACACCGGUGGCGAAGGCGGCCUGCUGGGCUAUGGCUGACACUGAGGCGCGACAGCGUGGGGAGCAAACAGG
rnacentral:rRNA from 1 species